UGGGUAGGGGAGCGUUCUGUAAGCCUGUGAAGGUGGCCUGUGAGGGUUGCUGGAGGUAUCAGAAGUGCGAAUGCUGACAUAAGUAACGAUAAAGCGGGUGAAAAGCCCGCUCGCCGGAAGACCAAGGGUUCCUGUCCAACGUUAAUCGGGGCAGGGUGAGUCGACCCCUAAGGCGAGGCCGAAAGGCGUAGUCGAUGGGAAACGGGUUAAUAUUCCCGUACUUGGUGUUACUGCGAAGGGGGGACGGAGAAGGCUAUGUUGGCCGGGCGACGGUUGUCCCGGUUUAAGCGUGUAGGUGUGUGUUCCAGGUAAAUCCGGUUCACUUUAACACUGAGGCGUGAUGACGAGGCACUACGGUGCUGAAGCAACAAAUGCCCUGCUUCCAGGAAAAGCCUCUAAGCAUCAGGUAACAUCAAAUCGUACCCCAAACCGACACAGGUGGUCAGGUAGAGAAUACCAAGGCGCUUGAGAGAACUCGGGUGAAGGAACUAGGCAAAAUGGUGCCGUAACUUCGGGAGAAGGCACGCUGACACGUAGGUGAAGUGAUUUACUCAUGGAGCUGAAGUCAGUCGAAGAUACCAGCUGGCUGCAACUGUUUAUUAAAAACACAGCACUGUGCAAACACGAAAGUGGACGUAUACGGUGUGACGCCUGCCCGGUGCCGGAAGGUUAAUUGAUGGGGUCAGCGCAAGCGAAGCUCCUGAUCGAAGCCCCGGUAAACGGCGGCCGUAACUAUAACGGUCCUAAGGUAGCGAAAUUCCUUGUCGGGUAAGUUCCGACCUGCACGAAUGGCGUAAUGAUGGCCAGGCUGUCUCCACCCGAGACUCAGUGAAAUUGAACUCGCUGUGAAGAUGCAGUGUACCCGCGGCAAGACGGAAAGACCCCGUGAACCUUUACUAUAGCUUGACACUGAACAUUGAGCCUUGAUGUGUAG
rnacentral:rRNA from 1 species